UACGAAGGGGGCUAGCGUUGCUCGGAAUCACUGGGCGUAAAGCGCACGUAGGCGGAUCUUUAAGUCAGAGGUGAAAUCCCAAGGCUCAACCUUGGAACUGCCUUUGAUACUGGGGAUCUCGAGUCCGGAAGAGGUGAGUGGAAUUCCUAGUGUAGAGGUGAAAUUCGUAGAUAUUAGGAAGAAAACAGUGGCGAAGGCGGCUCACUGGUCCGGUACUGACGCUGAGGCACGAAAGCGUGGGGAGCAAACAGG
rnacentral:rRNA from 1 species